ensembl:lncRNA
GGGAGGUAGUGAGUCCCUACUCUUGAAGGUAAUCAAACAGGCUGCUGGGACCACUUGUCAGCAGCAGGAGAGAGGGAGGUUCCUCAUCCUGGGUGGGAUGUUGAACUUGGUGGUUUCCUAGGAACCUCAUCUCUAUGAGGCAAUGGCAAAGUAAAUGGGUAGGGUGGGAAUUCAGAUCUCUACCCACAAAGACAAUCUAGGAGCCAGUUUUGGACAAACAUGAUGCUGACCCCACUGAUUGGGGAUCAGCAGAGCCUGGUGUGCAUGGGUGAGAAUGGCAUGGACUUAUCCGCUUUCCUGAACUGACUUGUUGAAACUGUCACACUCAUGUUCACCUAAUGGCUGCAGCAAAUAAAUCAAGUAUAAAUGUUGCAGAGUUGGUCACCUUAGCCCCGGCCUAUUACCUUCAUCUCUCCCUUGCUCCUCUGCAGACCGUCUGAGGCCAGCAGCAUUGGCUCCCCCUGGAAGCUGGAGAGAAAGGCAAAUUUUCUGGCCCUCAUCCCAGACCAUCCUAUUGGAAUCUGCAAUUUCACAAGAUCCCCAGGUUGUCCCUGGAUCUGUUUUCCAUGGUUCCUGCCCUUUGAUUUUAUGCUUCUUAUCAAGGAUGGCCCCACCUACCACGCCCAUAAUUCCUCAACAGAUAUUAAAGGCUCAAGCAAAUGUCUCAUGGAAAGAGGCCAGGUAAAGAAUCCACCUGCAAGGAAGGAGACAAAGGAGAUGUGAGUUCUAUCCCUGGAAUUGGAAAGAUCCCCCGGAGGAGGAAAUGGCAGCCCACUCCAGUGUUCUUGCCUGAAAAAUUCAUGGACAGAGGAGCCUGAUGGGCUACAGUCCAUGGGGUCGCAGAGAGUUGAACACAACUAAGCAAGAGAGAAAGCUAAUUGUAAAUGUGUUAGUUUCAAGUGUACAGCAAAGUGAUUCAGUUAUAUAU